ensembl:lncRNA
AAUAAUAUUACACUUAACGCCGAUGGAAGUAAUGGCGAUUUUCAUUGUGAUAGUACUAAUAAUGUGUUAGAACAUAUUACUCAUUUGUUAAAAUGUAAUGAAAGUAUAAACAAUUUAGAAGAAAUUCAAGAAUCUGUACAAAGCUUUUUAACCAAUAUAGAUAAUCAAAUUAAUAUGCUACAAACCCAUGAAAAUAAUACAGAUAUAUUUUUUUUUCUUCAAAAUAAUGAUAUAAAUACUAUGAUGAAAAAUAGUUUGGAAACACGUUUAUUAUUAGAGUAUAAAAACAAAAUCGAUGAUUUAUUAAUACAUAAAGAGAAGGUAGAUUAUUUUUUAACUAGUGAUAAAGCGAAAAAGUCUAUGAAAUUAAAAAAUAAAACUAUUAAUUAUUUAAUGCAAAAUAAAAAAUAUAUAGAACAACUAGUUAACCAAUUGAAAAACAGUGACGAACAAAUGUUACAUUACACAAAACAACAUCAAACAUUAACAAAUUCAAAAAAUAAUAUGUAUCACGAUACUUUAUGUUUACAAAACAACUUAAGUGAUAAUAAAAUGGAAAAUGAAUCAGGAGUUAAUAAUAUGGGAGAGCAAACUAUACUAUGUUUGGAAGAUGUUACAAAAAAUAAAAAUAAUAAUGAUUGUGUUAAUGGUACAAGUGGGGAUAUAAGAAAAAACUGUACUGAUAUAGAAUGGCCAAAUAUAUCUAGUACAUACGAAAAGACGUUAUACGAAAAAUCGUAUAAUGUAGUAAAAAAAUUAAAAGAAAUGAGAAAAAAUAAAAUGGGCACUAAUUUUGACUGUGAUAACAGCAAUAACAGUGGUAAUAACAGUAGCAAUAACAGUAACAAUAACAGUAGCAACAACAAAAACAACUAUACGAAUAACUGUUGUAACGAUAUGAUGAAGUUAAGCAAACUAAUUUUGGGAGUUCCAUUAAUAAAAGACUUUGAAAAAGGAUUAACUACAAACCAGCCAGCGUUACCUCUAAGUGACCAUUUAAAAAAUUUAUCAAUUUGUAUUAAAUGUUAUAACAAACAUCACGAUUUGGCUAAAUCAGUUAUCUGUAGAAUUACUAAAACGCAUUUUGAAUCGAAUAAUAAUAAUGGAUUAAGUGAAAAAGAUUUAUUUAAGGAGACUAGUGAAUGUGCCCAAUCAAUUAUUCACGAACUAGUUAAUGUGAUUAAAGAAUAUCGAAAAAAAGAAUUAGCUGGUGCUUAUAUAAUGCAACAACAGAGUAUCGACAAAAUUGGUACAUUUGGUGGUUCUAUUGCUAGUGUUGCCAGUAAAAGUAAUAAUAGUAGUGUUAGUGGUAGUGUUAGUGGUA